rnacentral:rRNA from 1 species
UACGAAGGGUGCAAGCGUUACUCGGAAUUACUGGGCGUAAAGCGUGCGUAGGUGGUUUUUUAAGUCCGUUGUGAAAGCCCUGGGCUCAACCUGGGAAUGGCAGUGGAUACUGGAAAGCUAGAGUGCGGUAGAGGGUAGUGGAAUUCCCGGUGUAGCAGUGAAAUGCGUAGAGAUCGGGAGGAACACCAGUGGCGAAGGCGGCUACCUGGACCAGCACUGACACUGAGGCACGAAAGCGAUGGGUAGCAAACAGGGAUUAAGAUGACC